rnacentral:rRNA from 1 species
UACGUCGGGCGCAAGCUUUAUCCGGAAUUAUUGGGCGUAAAGAGCUCGUAGGCGGUUUGUCGCGUCUGCCGUGAAAGUCCGGGGCUCAACUCCGGAUCUGCGGUGGGUACGGGCAGACUAGAGUGAUGUAGGGGAGACUGGAAUUCCUGGUGUAGCGGUGAAAUGCGCAGAUAUCAGGAGGAACACCGAUGGCGAAGGCAGGUCUCUGGGCAUUAACUGACGCUGAGGAGCGAAAGCAUGGGGAGCGAACAGG